UGAGGUAAUCUUGUUUUUGCAGUGUUUCCUAACCUUUUUGAUACCAGGGAUUAGUUUGCUGCCUUCCUAAGCUGUCAAGGAGAUCUCAG